rnacentral:tRNA from 1 species
GCGUACAUCGUUGAAUUGGGGAGGACAGAGGUACUCUAAAUCUUCAGUAUAGGUUUGAAUCCUAUUGGACACA